UAAUUUAUAUUUUAAUUAAGAUUAUUAGAAAUUUAUUUUUUAGUUAUGAUUGGGGUGAUUUUUAAAGAUUAUUAAUCUUUAAAAUUUUUUAAUAAAAAAGUUCCAUUAGUACGCGUUUUUUGAUAAAAAUACUCUAGGGAUAACAGCGUUAUUAUUUUGGAUAGUUCAUAUAGAUAAAAUAGUUUGCGACCUCGAUGUUGGAUCUAGAGAUUCUUUUAUGGAUGAAGAAGUUAUAAGGGAGAAGUUUGCUCAACUUUUAAAGUCCUACUUGAUCUGAGUUCAGACCGGG
rnacentral:rRNA from 1 species